rnacentral:misc_RNA from 1 species
GAUGAAGAACGUAGCGAAAUGCGAUAAGUAAUGUGAAUUGCAGAAUUCAGUGAAUCAUCGAAUCUUUGAACGCACAUUGCGCCCGCCAGCACUCUGGCGGGCAUGCCUGUUCGAGCGUCAUUUCGACCAUCAGGCCCUCCGGGCUUGUGUUGGGGCUCCCUGCGGCUGUCCGCAGGCCCUGAAAACCAGUGGCGGGCUUGCAAAGUCACACCGAGCGCAGUAGAUUUUUUUCAUCUCGCUCAGGGCGUGCGUGCGGGCGCCGGCCGUAAAAGACGAGAGCGCGGCCUCGGCCGCCCACAAAUACCACAAGGUUGACCUCGGAUCAGGUAGGAAUACCCGCUGAACUUAAGCAUAUCAAUAGCGGAGGA